rnacentral:sRNA from 1 species
GCUGGGUGUGGUGGCACACUCCUGUAAUCCCAGCAGCUUGGGAAGCUGAGAUAGGAGGACCACAAGUUCAAACCAGCCUCAGCAACUCAGCAAGAUUCUGUCUCUA